rnacentral:pre_miRNA from 1 species
UUGUAGCUAUGAUGUUGGCCCGGCUCACUCAGAUGAAUCUAUCUCUAUCAUCGAUGUAGCAAAAUGCAUGAAUCGGACGCAUUGCAGUACAUCUCUUAGUGCAAUGUUCCAUGCUGAUGACACUACUGAUUGAGCCGUGCCAAUAUCUCAGCACCAUUU